UCAAUAAAACUCUUAUAAUUUUUAUGAUGCAUUAAUAAGAUCUUUUGUUGCUUUCCAUGUUGUUGUAUCAUGUGAAGUCUUGCUUGAGAAUGCAUUAGAUACCUGAUUGUGGAAGAUAAAAAAAAAAUGCAAUAACAAGUUCUAACAAUUCUAAUAGAACUAUAUAUAAAUUGUAAUUAUAGUUUAAAAAAUCUAAUAAAAUAUUAAUAAGUCUAAUUAAAUUUUUUAAUAAAUUAUAAAAGAAAUAUUAAAAAAUCUUAAAUUAAUCCUAAUUGAAUCCUAAUCAAAUCAUAAAUAAAUUUUAAUCAAAUCUUAAACAAACCUUAAUCAAAUCUUAUACAAAUUUUAAUUAAAAAUUAAACAAAUUCUAAUCAAAGCCUAGACAAAUCCUAAACAAAUUCUAAUAAAAUCCUAGACAAGUCCUAAUUAAAACCUAACCAAAUCCUAAAUAAACCUUUGAAAAAUCCUAGAUAAAACUAAAUAAAUUUAAACAAAUCUCAUAUAAAUUCUAGACAAAUAUUAAACAAAUCUUAAACAAAUUCUAAUCAAAUCUUACGAAAAUCUUAAAUAAAUUUUAAUCAAACCUUAGAAAAAUCUUAAUCGACUCCUAAAAAAACUUA
rnacentral:lncRNA from 1 species